UACGUAGGGGCCUAGCGUUGUCCGGAAUUAUUGGGCGUAAAGAGCUCGUAGGCGGUUCGGCAAGUCGGAUGUGAAAUCUCCACGCUUAACGUGGAGGGGCCAUUCGAAACUGCUGUGACUCGAGUCCGGUAGGGGAGUGUGGAAUUCCCGGUGUAGCGGUGAAAUGCGCAGAUAUCAGGAGGAACACCGGUGGCGAAGGCGGGUCUCUGGGCCGGUACUGACGCUGAGACGCGAAAGCGUGGGGAGCGAACAGG
rnacentral:rRNA from 1 species